AUUUCAGAAGUCAGACUGAAAUGUCUUGGAAAUGUAGCUUCAGAUUGAAGAGUGGACCUCAAGAAAGAGAUUCAAAAUUUAAUAGGAGAAAGCCUUUGCCAUGUUAUUGAAAAGAACAAGAUUUGGAUAUUUUGUGGCAGCAUUGUUAACCUUUGUCCAACUGGCAUUAUGUACAUAUUUUUGGCACACCCAAAUUCACAAUUAGCCAAUCAGAAGUCCUGUCCACUGUCCUUAUAUCCUGAGAUGUCAGGUUACUUGGCAAGGAAUAGAGUGUUCCUCCACUAUAUUCACAAGAUCUUCUGCACCACCAUUCUCAGGAUGGAUGCACGUUCCAUGACCAAUUCUAUCUGGGA